AGUAACUCUCCUGAAGUCACACAGCUGUUUCAAAUGCAGGAUGUCUCACACCAGGACCGCGCCAGGACCAUGGUGUGGGGCAAGAGCUUCCUGUCACCCCACACCUCCCAGCAGGAAGGUGGUGUGGAUCCGAGGCAGGGUGAGGGUGGGGGAUAGCGGGUUGGCAGAGUGCACGGCCUCCCACUAGGAGGAGCAAGGCUAGUGAAGCAGGACCGGCCACACCACGUCCACCUUGGUGCCUUCUGACAGGUCAGUCUGGGCCCCAGUCCCUGGUUCCUGGUGAGCUUCCCAUCACCCCCCACCUCCCUGCGUGCCCAGAUCGGCAUUGCAUCUGGAGCGUUCCGAAGAGAAACACAACCUGGGGGCGUUGGUAACAGCAGAGGCUUCUGCUGGUCCCACAGCCAACCCGCGGAGUGAGGUCUGG
rnacentral:lncRNA from 10 species